CACCAGCCCCUCGAGUGGUGGGGAUGAUUAUUUGGCCUAAAGCGUCCGUAGCCGGCCGGGUAAGUUUCCCGUUAAAUCCAGCGUCUCAAGCGUUGGACUGCGGGAAAUACUGCCUGGCUAGAGAGUGGGAGAGGUGUACGGUAUUCUGGGGGUAGGGGCGAAAUCCUUUGAUCCCCGGAGGACCACCAGUGGCGAAGGCUGUACACUAGAACACGUCUGACGGUCAGGGACGAAAGCUGGGGUAGCGAACCGGAUUAGAUACCCCGGGUAGUCCCAGCUGUAAACGAUGCAUGCUAGGUGUUGGGUUGGCCACGAGCCACCCCAGUGCCGCAGGGAAGCCGUUAAGCAUGCCGCCUGGGAAGUACGAUCGCAAGAUUGAAACUUAAAGGAAUUGGCGGGGAGCACCACCAGGCGUGAAGCCUGCGGUUU
rnacentral:rRNA from 1 species